rnacentral:rRNA from 1 species
CAGUCUCAGUUCGGAUUGAAGGCUGAAAUUCGCCUUCCAUGAAGCCGGAAUUGCUAGUAAUGGCAGGUCAGCAUACUGCCGUGAAUACGUUCCCGGGCCUUGUACACACCGCCCGUCACACCAUGAGAGUUAGGAAUACCCGAAGCCUGUGAGCUAACUUUAAUAGAGGCAGCAGUCGAAGGUAGAACUAAUGAUUGGGGUGAAGUCGUAACAAGGUAUC